CCCUUAGAUGUCCUGGGCCGCACGCGCGUUACACUGAUGCAUUCAACGAGCUUAUAACCUUGGCCGAGAGGCCUGGGCAAUCUUGUUAACGUGCAUCGUGAUAGGGAUAGAUUAUUGAAAUUAUUAAUCUUGAACGAGGAGUUCCUAGUAAACGCAGAUCAUCAAUCUGCAUUGAUUACGUCCCUGCCCUUUGUACACACCGCCCGUCGCACCUACCGAUUGGAUGGUCCGGUGAAGCCUCGGGAUUGUGGUUCUUGCCGCUUUAUUGUGGCGUGACCGCGAGAACUUGUCUAAACCUUAUCAUCUAGAGGAAGGUGAAGUCGUAACA
rnacentral:rRNA from 1 species